GACGAACGCUGGCGGCGUGCUUAACACAUGCAAGUCGAACGAUGAACCUUCCAUGAUCUAUUCGUAGAGAUUGGAAGCGGAUUAGUGGCGAACGGGUGAGUAACGCGUGAGCAACCCGCCUUACACAACGGGAUAGCCUCGGGAAACCGGGAUUAAUACCGUAUGAGAUCCCGCCUGCCCAUGAAGAAGAGGUUAAAGAUUUAUCGGUUUAAGAUGGGCUCGCGUCUGAUUAGCUAGUUGAUGAGAUAAAAGCCCACCAAGGCAACGAUCAGUAACCGGCUUGAGAGAGUGAACGGUCACAUUGGAACUGAGACACGGUCCAAACUCCUACGGGAGGCAGCAGUGGGGGAUAUUGCACAAUGGGGGAAACCCUGAUGCAGCGACGCCGCGUGAGCGGUGAAGGAAUUCGUUUCGUAAAGCUCUGUCCAAGGGGAAGAUAAUGACAGUACCCUUGGAGGAAGCCCCGGCUAAAUACGUGCCAGCAGCCGCGGUAA
rnacentral:rRNA from 1 species